rnacentral:rRNA from 1 species
AUGUCUACUUUCCCGACUGCCAACCCGCCACCGCGGUUUGGCAACGAUUCUCCCAGUCCCAACAGCUCCUUCCCUUCCUUCCUCCCCAUCGUCAUCGUGUUUACGCUACUGAGCAUAUUGGGAACCAUCGCCAUAGCUGGCUUCCUGUGCAGAUACGUCAAGAAGCACGGCCUCCAUGCCAUCACCAUCAGCACAGGUGCCGCCCCGGUUAGCACGGCACUGUACGCGGUGGCGCCGGACACCCAGAUACGGGACGCCACCGUGGAGAGGUUCCUCAGGGAGAUUGCUGGCGAGAAGCCCAUCCGAUUCACUCCGCAGCAGCUCUCGGGCUUCACCAACAACUACUCUGUCCGGCUCGGCGCUGGUGGCUUCGGUGCCGUUUACAAGGGCAUGCUCCCCAAUGGUCUCACGGUCGCCGUGAAGCGCCUCCACGCCGGACGCCACGACGACAGGACCUCUCAGGAGCAGUUCAUGGCGGAGAUGGGCACCAUCGGGAGGACGCACCACAUCAACCUCGUCAGGCUCUUCGGCUUCUGCUACGAUGCCGCUGACGUGCGCGCUCUGGUGUAUGAGUACAUGGAGCACGGCGCGCUCGAUUCCUACCUCUUCGACCGGAGCCGCCAAGUCUCUUUCCAGACGCUGCAAGACAUCGCCGUUGGCAUUGCCAGGGGGCUCCGGUACCUCCACGAGGAGUGCCAGCAGAAGAUCGUGCACUACGACAUCAAGCCCGGCAACGUGCUCCUCGACGGCAGCCUUACCCCAAAGGUGGCCGACUUCGGCCUUGCGCAGCUGCUGAACCGGGCGGACACCCACAAGAGCGUCUCCGGGAUGCGCGGCACACCAGGUUAUGCCGCACCAGAGAUGUGGAUGCAGGCCGGUGCCACCGUGAAGUGCGACGUGUACAGCUUUGGCAUCCUCCUGUUUGAGAUCCUCGGCCGAAGGAGGAACCUCGACGAGACCGCGCCAGAGAGCCAGCAGUGGUUCCCCAAGCUGGUGUGGGUAAAGUAUGAGAGCGGCCGGCUUCUGGAGGUCGUAGAGACUUGUGACGGCGCGGACAAGCAGGACAAGAAGACGGCGGAGAGGAUGUGUGAGGUGGCGUUCUGGUGCGUGCAGCAGCAGCCGGAGGCGAGGCCUCCGAUGGGGGUGGUGGUGAAGAUGCUUGAAGGCGAGAUGGACAUUGCUCCCCCGGUGAACCCGUUCCAGCAUCUCAUGGCAACGCCGGUGGUGGCAAACAUGUGGACCACCGUGACGAGCAGCGUGAACACGGUCUCGACUGGGGUAGAUAUCGAUGGUGUUUCUCGUGAAAUUUGUUCGACAUAA